rnacentral:rRNA from 1 species
GCCUAACACAUGCAAGUCGAGCGGCAGCGCGAAUAGUAGCAAUACUAUUUGGCGGCGAGCGGCGGACGGGUGAGGAACGCGUAGGAACUUGCCCUUUAGUGGGGGAUAACCAAGGGAAACUUUGGCUAAUACCGCAUACACUCGAGAGAGGAAAGCUGCCGUAAGGUGGCGCUAAAGGAGAGGCCUGCGUCCGAUUAGCUAGUUGGAGAGGUAAAAGCUCACCAAGGCGACGAUCGGUAACUGGUCUGAGAGGACGACCAGUCACACUGGGACUGAGACACGGCCCAGACUCCUACGGGAGGCAGCAGUGGGGAAUAUUGGACAAUGGGGGAAACCCUGAUCCAGCGAUGCCGCGUGGGUGAAGAAGGCCUUCGGGUUGUAAAGCCCUUUAGGUUGGGACGAAGUUUAGUAGAAGAUAACGCUAUUAGAUUGACGGUACCGACAGAAUAAGCACCGGCAAACUCUGUGCCAGCAGCCGCCGUAA